rnacentral:rRNA from 1 species
GACGAACGCUGGCGGCGUGCCUAAUACAUGCAAGUCGAGCGGAUUUUCGGAAGCUUGCUUCCGAAAAUUAGCGGCGGACGGGUGAGUAACACGUGGGCAACCUGCCUGUAAGACUGGGAUAACUUCGGGAAACCGGAGCUAAUACCGGAUACAUUCUUCCCUCGCAUGAGGGAAGAUGGAAAGACGGUGUUGCUGUCCCUUACAGACGGGCCCGCGGCGCAUUAGCUAGUUGGUGGGGUAAUGGCCCACCAAGGCGACGAUGCGUAGCCGACCUGAGAGGGUGAUCGGCCACACUGGGACUGAGACACGGCCCAGACUCCUACGGGAGGCAGCAGUAGGGAAUCUUCCGCAAUGGACGAAAGUCUGACGGAGCAACGCCGCGUGAGCGAAGAAGGCCUUCGGGUCGUAAAGCUCUGUUGUCAGGGAAGAACAAGUACCAUAGUAACUGAUGGUACCUUGACGGUACCUGACCAGAAAGCCACGGCUAACUACGUGCCAGCAGCCGCAGUAAUAC